rnacentral:rRNA from 1 species
AUUGAACGAUGGCGGCAGGCCUAACACAUGCAAGUCGAACGAGUGGCGGACGGGUGAGUAAUGUCUGGGAAACUGCCCGAGGGAGGGGGAUAACUACUGGAAACGGUAGCUAAUACCGCAUACCAUCGGAUGUGCCCAGAUGGGAUUAGCUAGAAGGUGGGGUAACGGCUCAACUAGGCGCCGAUCCCUAGCGGGUCUGAGAGGAUGAACAGCCACACGGGAACUGAGACACGUUCACGACUCCUACGGUAGGCAGCAGUGGGGAAUAUUGCACAAUGGGCGCAAGCCUGAUGCAGCCAUGCCGCGUGUAUGAAGAAGGCCUUCGGGUUGUAAAGUACUUUCAGCGGGGAGGCGUUACCCGCAGAAGAAGCACCGGCUAACUCCGUGCCAGCAGCCGCGGUAAUUC